GCUUUUGCCAACAGUCUCCAAAGCAGUCCCAAGUAGUGUAAAACAGAAGGCAGAAGUUCAUCAAGAACAUCUUUGCUAUUGCAGUAAAAAAGAGAGUAGAGGAGAUGGACACAAAAGAUGUGGACCACUGAUGAUGAGAAAGCAACUAAGGCGGCAACUUUUAAAAUAAUUUCACUCUAUAAUGGAAGGAGUUUAACAUUACCUACGUGGGGAUGGGAAAUAAUAAAUAAAUAUUUU